rnacentral:rRNA from 1 species
UACGAAGGGGGCUAGCGUUGCUCGGAAUCACUGGGCGUAAAGCGCACGUAGGCGGAUCUUUAAGUCAGGGGUGAAAUCCUGGAGCUCAACUCCAGAACUGCCUUUGAUACUGGGGAUCUCGAGUCCGGGAGAGGUGAGUGGAACUCCGAGUGUAGAGGUGAAAUUCGUAGAUAUUCGGAAGAACACCAGUGGCGAAGGCGGCUCACUGGCCCGGUACUGACGCUGAGGUGCGAAAGCGUGGGGUGCAAACAGG